rnacentral:rRNA from 1 species
AGAGUUUGAUCCUGGCUCAGAUUGAACGCUGGCGGCAGGCCUAACACAUGCAAGUCGAGCGGAUGAAGAGAGCUUGCUCUCUGAUUCAGCGGCGGACGGGUGAGUAAUGCCUAGGAAUCUGCCUGGUAGUGGGGGACAACGUUUCGAAAGGAACGCUAAUACCGCAUACGUCCUACGGGAGAAAGCAGGGGACCUUCGGGCCUUGCGCUAUCAGAUGAGCCUAGGUCGGAUUAGCUAGUUGGUGAGGUAAUGGCUCACCAAGGCGACGAUCCGUAACUGGUCUGAGAGGAUGAUCAGUCACACUGGAACUGAGACACGGUCCAGACUCCUACGGGAGGCAGCAGUGGGGGAUAUUGGACAAUGGGCGAAAGCCUGAUCCAGCCAUGCCGCGUGUGUGAAGAAGGUCUUCGGAUUGUAAAGCACUUUAAGUUGGGAGGAAGGGCAGUAACUUAAUACGUUGCUGUUUUGACGUUACCGACAGAAUAAGCACCGGCUAACUCUGUGCCAGCAGCCGCGGUAAUA